GUGGGUAUAGCUCAGUUGGUAGAGCGCUGGCUUGUGGUGCCGGAUGUCGCGGGUUCGAGUCCCGUUACUCACCCCA
rnacentral:tRNA from 4 species